GCUGAGGACGUGGUUGCCCGUCCCUCCCUUGGGGAUGCCGUCGACUGCACCCGCCUCGCCUGUGCCUGGCCUGGCUCGCCUCGUGGCGUGGGGGCGAAAAGGGACAGGCGGCGGAGCGCUUACCGGCCGUGGACAGGAGCUGCCCUAAGGGAAGCUGGAAUGGCCAGAGAAAGGUGAAGAAGAAGAAGAAGAAGAAGAAGAGAUGGAAGGCUCUCCGGCCGGCAGCUGCCUCCCGCUGCAGGCAAGAGAGCGCCUGCCUCGCCGGGCGGAGGACAGCCGAGCGACCGGAGUGACAGCAAAGGAAAGGCGGAGAGCGGGAGAAAGAAGCGUCUGCGCUGGCAAGCUCUCCCGGCAGCGCCGAGAGCCAGAGCUGCGGUGCUGCUGCGCCGAUGCUCCGUACGUUCGCAGUAACGGGUAGAGCGGAAGGCUCCGUGGCCAGGGAAGAGCGGCACGGACACGUUCCUGCUCGCUCCGUUGCACCGGAAUUUCAACGGCUGGGUUCGGCCGCUAAAUUGAUGGCGCUACCGGAAGAAAUUUCAGAAAAAAAGGGUGGCUUUUUCGUCGAUCUCUUUGUGAGAGUAUCAAAUCAGGCGGCGGUAAAUACGUAGAAGCAACUAGGCGUACUACGGCGUGUACCGGACAGCGUUGGCGUGCCGCUCUGCUAGCAGCGGAGAGCCAGAUGAGGAUGCCCGUGGUA